ensembl:lncRNA
GUGCAAUAGUUUCUCUUAAAACAUUACCAGGCUCCCCUGAGAAUCAUUGGCAGGUGCUCAGGGAAAAAGGCACAUCCUCCUUUGCAAUCUUGUUAUACUUAAAAAUAUACAAAUCGCACAUAUUGUCCUUUCCCUUUCUCAGCCUUUGCAGGUGUUCUGACUUCUGCAGCAGCAACACCUUUCUGGGAGAAAGAGAAGGAAGCAGGAGCUUUAGCAGCAGUGCCACCGUGUGAUGAAUGCAGUUCAGUGACUUUGGUCUUGGGUUAUUUCGAGCCGGGAAGGAUGAUAUAUGAAAACCAGGAAGAGAAACAAUGGACUGAAUUUUCUUGUUCAAUCCCUACUAAAUCGUACAUGACAAUUGAUCCUGGGGAGAAUGUCUAAAAGAUCAAGAAGACCAGCAUCCAUGUCAGUUAAUCAACUGCGGAACCAGGGCGAGGAAUGAGGGUGUGGAACCGAUGCUCAGGCUUCUUAGUUGGGUGAGAUUUCUGGUGCAAUCUGCCUCGGAGAGGAAGAGAUAAGCUAGAACUCGGGGCUCCGCUUCUGCUCGGAAAAUCGCGGGCCGUUUCUUCCUACACUUUCAUCAAUAUCCUUCAAAGCUGGGCAAUAUUAACAGUUUAUCCCUCCUCCCCACUUUUCCAUCGCAAGAGGUUUGCUGCUUUCCUGCAACCCACCAGGCAAUCAGAUUCUUCCAUAAAAGACAUGAUUACCUCUUACGUUAUUAAGGAACAUCUUUAUCUGAUUGGACUUCAUAUCCCUCCAACUCACCAACAGUUUGAGACCUGGUAGUUACUCUCAACUUGGUUUAACCUAUCUGCUGAGACAGUUUACUGGGAUGUGACUGCUGAACAUGCUACAGCUUCUUGAUGUCACAGGUUAGAGUUGGAUGAAGAUGGAGACCAAAGAUGGAUGUGAAGCUCUGAAAAGACUUAGCAAGUCCUCACAACAGAGGUGCCAGUCCUCCCUGAACAUUCCCUACAUUCCUGAGAGUAUUAUAGGAUAGGAAGAUAUACAUAUGUAAUUAGCAGUCAUAAUUUUGAACAUGAAUGGGAUAUGUUCAUCCAUAAAAUGUAAAAGAAUAGCAGAAUGGAUUAGAAAAUAGAAUCUAAUAAUAUUUUAUUCACAAAAAAACCACACUUAAACAAGCAAAACAUACAUUUACAUUUCUGUUUUAUUAGUUAGGGAUUUUUAAUUUGUUGCUUUUCUGAUUUCUUUGAUUGCAUGCCUAAUUUGUUGAUCUGCUUCUUAUUUAUCUAGGUAAGUGUUUAGAGAUAUAAAGAUGUUUUCUUUACCUUCCCAAUUUUUAAUCUGCAAUUUCUAAUAACCCAAUAUUAAAUUCCUCACUUCUUUUGCAUUGAAUAUGUCUUUGAGAGAAAAUCAAAGGAUAUCAUCACAAAUUAAAAUUUGUGUUUUAAUAAAUCUAAAAUAAAAUUUCAAUUUAGUACUUAUAAAAGACUACUUACUUUUUUGAAGUACAAUAUAAAACUGAUGUGGGAAGAAAAUUCAGUAGUUUUUAUUCAAAGUAUUUGUGAUAACCUCAAGGAUUUUAGUAAAAAAAAAAAAAGUUUUUGAUAAAAAGAUGAAAUUUAAAACUCUUAAUUUGGUAUGCAUAACUAAUUUCAGUUAGAAAAAGAACUUAAAUUAUGAGUUCAUUGGUAUAAUUAAUAUUAAUAUAAGGG